rnacentral:rRNA from 1 species
CCUACGGGGGGCUGCAGUGAGGAAUAUUGGUCAAUGGGCGCGAGCCUGAACCAGCCAAGUCGCGUGAGGGAAGACGGUCCUACGGAUUGUAAACCUCUUUUGUCGGGGAGUAAAAUACGCCACGCGUGGCGUUCCGAGAGUACUUGAUGAAAAAGCAUCGGCUAACUCCGUGCCAGCAGCCGCGGUACUACGGAGGAUGCGAGCGUUAUCCGGAUUUAUUGGGUUAAAGGGGAGCGUAGGCGGAAGAUCAAGUCAGCGGUAAAAUUGUGAGGCUCAACCUCAUCGAGCCGUUGAAACUGGUUGUCUUGAGUGAGCGAGAGGUAUGCGGAAUUCGUGGUGUAGCGGUGAAAUGCAUAGAUAUCACGCAGAACUCCGAUUGCGAAGGCAGCAUACCAGCGCUCAACUGACGCUCAUGCACGAAAGUGUGGGUAUCAAACAGGAUUAGAUACCCGAGUAGUC